rnacentral:misc_RNA from 1 species
GUCAAUCAUCGAAUCUUUGAACGCAAAUUGCACUCUCUUCGGAGAGAAUGACUGUUUGUGGUUCAGUAUUAUUAUAAAUCGGUGUGUUGCUUCUUUGUGACGCUCCGUAGUUUUGGUCAUCUUAAUAUCCUUUCGGUUUUAAGAGGCUUAAAAUUGACUUUUUUUGCGCAUUUUAGAUGUACAUAAAUGCUUUUUUUUAUUCGUCUGUCUUAAUGCUCAAAAUACGAUUAUAUGCGACCAUA